GCUUCUGUGGCUCAGUCGGUAGAGCGAUUGAUUCGUAAUCAAUAGGUCGUCGGUUCAAGUCCGACCAGAAGCUCCA
rnacentral:tRNA from 1 species